rnacentral:rRNA from 1 species
AUUGAACGCUGGCGGCAGGCCUAACACAUGCAAGUCGAGCGAGCGGCGGACGGGUGAGUAAUGUACGGGGACUGCCUGAUAGAGGGGGAUAACUACUGGAAACGGUGGCUAAUACCGCAUACCGUCAGAUUACCCAUAUGGGAUUAGCUAGUAGGUAAGGUAAUGGCUCACCUAGGCGACGAUCCCUAGCUGGUCUGAGAGGAUGAUCAGCCACACGGGGACGGAGACACGGCCCAGACUCCUACGGAGGCAGCAGUGGGGAAUAUUGCACAAUGGGCGCAAGCCUGAUGCAGCCAUGCCGCGUGUAUGAAGAAGGCCUUAGGGUUGUAAAGUACUUUCAGGCGGGAGGCGUUACCGACAGAAGAAGCACCGGCUAACUCCGUGCCAGCAGCCGCGGUAAUUC